ACCUGAACUCCGGGGUGCUGCCAUGGGGCGGCUGAGAUCAUACCCGUAUAACUUGAUGCAGGUAAUACUGACGCAAGGAAAAGUGCACAGGCGCAGA
rnacentral:ncRNA from 2 species